GUGAAUCAUCGAAUUUUUGAACGCAAAUUGCACUUUCUGGUAUUCCGGAAAGUAUGCCUGUUUGAGGGUCAGUUUAAUAAAAAUCGGGGGUGGUGCUGCCUUUCGGUGUUACGGGUCGGAAUUUGGUCGGCUUUCCUUCGGGUUAGGUACUUAAAAUUUUUGCAUGAUUUUCUAACGUAGUUAAAUCGCUUACGUACGUUUGAUAUAUCGAAUGCUUAUUAGGUGCGGUCAUUCCCAUGAUUCGCGCCUAUAAUUUUUCAUUAAAUUACCUCAAAACAGGUAAGAAUACCCGCUGAACUUU
rnacentral:misc_RNA from 1 species